GCUGGUGAGGUACCUAUUAGGAGCAGCCGCCUAAGGUGGGAUAGAUGAUUGGGGUGAAGUCGUAACAAGGUAGCCGUAUCGGAAGGUGCGGCUGGAUCACCUCCUUUCU
rnacentral:rRNA from 1 species